AACGAACGCUGGCGGCAGGCCUAACACAUGCAAGUCGAACGCACCGCAAGGUGAGUGGCGCACGGGUGAGUAACACGUGGGAAUGUACCCUUUGGUUCGGAAUAACGUUUGGAAACGAACGCUAAUACCGGAUGAGCCCUGUGGGGGAAAGAUUUAUCGCCAAAGGAGCAGCCCGCGUCUGAUUAGCUAGUUGGUGGGGUAAAGGCCUACCAAGGCGACGAUCAGUAGCUGGUCUGAGAGGAUGAUCAGCCACACUGGGACUGAGACACGGCCCAGACUCCUACGGGAGGCAGCAGUGGGGAAUAUUGGACAAUGGGCGGAAGCCUGAUCCAGCCAUGCCGCGUGAGUGAUGAAGGCCUUCGGUUGUAAAGCUCUUUCGUCACGCGACGAUGAUGACGGUAGCGUGAGAAGAAGCCCCGGCUAAACUUCGUGCCAGCAGCCGCGUAA
rnacentral:rRNA from 1 species